AGUGAACGCUGGCGGUAGGCCUAACACAUGCAAGUCGAACGGAAGGACAGUGAGAGCGUGCGGUUACGGGUGGCGGGUGGCGGAAGGGUGAGGAAUACAUCGGAAUCUACAUUUUCGGGGGGGAUAACGAAGGGAAAGUUACGAUAAUACAGGAGACGACCAACGGGGGAGGGGAGGGGAAAGUCGGAGCGGGCGGGAAUGAAUGAGCCGAUGUCGGGUUAGCUGGUGGGGGGGGUAAGGGCCAAGGAAGGCGACGAUACGGUGCUGGUCUGGGAGGAUGAUCGGCCCCACUGGAACUGUGACACGGUCCAGACUCCUACGGGAGGCCCCAGUCGGGUAUAUUGGGCAAUGGGCGCAAGCCUUAUCCAGCCAUCCCGCGUGUGUGACGAAGGCCUUCGGGUUGUAAAGCCCUUUUUUUGGGAAAGAACCGCUUCCGGUUAAUACCCCGCUGUUCUGACGGUACCCAAUGAAUAAGCACCGGCUAACUUCGUG
rnacentral:rRNA from 1 species